rnacentral:lncRNA from 1 species
AGAUCCCAGUUUCUAAAUGCAGCCCAAACAAGACUGGAUGAGAAUAUUCGGAUGACAAUAAUGUGAAAACAUCUGCCUCCUUACAAGUUGCUAGGACAAACUUAGUUACGUAGCUGAUUGUCUUCAACCUACCGCUGCGCUUCCUUUUUCAGGAGGAGCAGAAGCAUGGUAUUUGCAGGGCUGGACACCGAAGAAGCAAAAUUCAUUUCUGCUAUGGGCUGGUUGCCAUUCAGCAAAGAGCCAGGCGUUUGUUUUAUCUGCCCUGGGACCCCGGAGCAGGGUGAAGGCUUUCAGCUGCCGUGCUGCCGCCCAUCCCGUGCCAUGGAGAGACCCCCAAAUUACCAAGAGAGCUUUCCGCAGCCCCUGUGCGGGAUGAGGGAGAGGAGCUGCUUUGGAGGCCCUCAUGCAACAUCACGAAGCUGCAGCACAAAAUUGCCAGGAGCCCUGGGCUGCUGCGCCUCUUCACAGCCACAUUUCUCAGGGGACGCUAAAGGAAGUUUGGUCCUUCUCAUCCCGGUGACGUCCCUGCGAGGCUUCACAGGGGCGCUGCAGCCGGCGGCUUCCUCCACCUCACGUGGCCUUGGUGCUCGGGUCAGCAUCCUCAAACAGCUGGGGAAGCAGCUGGGCGAUCUCACGGGGAUUUGUGCACGCUCAGGGGCAAGUCGUGGGAAAACGUGCUCUGGGAUGGUCUCGCACACCCACGUGGGCUUCUCCAGGGUCUCCUGGGGCACACGCUGCCUGUUCUCAGUGUUUUCCCAUGCUGCUCGUGUGGGGCUGUCACAGCUGCUUCAGGAGGAACUCGGGGCUGGGCCUGCACCCGUGUUGCAGCUGGCGAGCUGAGGGAUGUGUGGGGCAGCCCUUCCACCACCGCCUGUGUCACUGUUCUCCAGAAGAGCCCGGGACCACUUGCAGAGACCAAUGGACCUGGGAGAAGCUGAAACAAACUGGUCCUGAGGCCUGUUACUGGGACGUUCACUGAGACCCGAGGAGAGAAAGAUGGCCCAGCAGUAAAAGCAGCGCUCAGCUGGGUUUGGUGCCUUUGGGGUUUCCCUAGACUUUGAGUUUAUGUUAGCUACUGAUGGAGGCAUUCAGCAGGCAGCAGUUUGUGAUGGUUUCACACCAGGAUCACCUGCAAAAACAGCUCCCCUUCCAGAGCCCAUGGUGCUGAGCGGGACCAGGAGCUGCCUGGGGCAGAGCCUGGAGGAAGCAUCAGAAGCUGCCUUAAUUAGAGGCCGUUCCAGGGCUAAUUAGCCAUGCUUCAGAAAGAGUAGAGGAAGAAUAAAUGAUUUGUCAAAGGUGCGUGAGCCCGAGAUGUCCUGUCCCGCUGCCUUGGCCCUGCCAGCCCCUGGCUCGAUGCUGAAUUCGCACACUGGCGGCAUUUUCUUUGUGUGCUAGGGAUGUGUAAGGCCAAAAGCCCCGAUGGCGGGGGGGGGCAGGAAGGGAAUAAGGAGCCCGUUGUGCUGCUGGGGGAGCAGGGCGGCAGCAGGGCCGCAGCCGGCAGCUGCUCGCGGGGCUGCGGCUGGAGGCUGAGCCACAAAGGACAAAUUCACGGGGCCCGAGCGUGGCUCUGCGGCCCAGCACACUGCAAGCAUUAUGGGGCCGGGUGGGCAGCCCUGGGCAGCCUCCCACCCGCUCCCCAUCAAAGCACUGCCUUGAGCUGAGCCCUGGCGCAGAAAGGGAGGAGGAGGAGGCACUGGGAAGCGUUUCCAAUGUUCCUGUGCCAAGGAGCAGGCUUGGGGAGCAGCGCAGCAGGGGAUGGGCACCCAGGUGCUGCCAGGGCCCAGCACUGCUUGCAGGGUGCCAACGGAGCCUCCUGGAUUCAUUUCCGUGGUGCCCUCCCUGCUUUGCAGCCCAGGAACCUGAAAAGCCCUGGGUGUCACUCAGGAUGGCCACACAGAGAGCAAUAGGUGCCUGGAUCCGAGCUCCUCUCAGCAGAGCGAAGCUGGCAAGUAAUUUUACUUCUCUCCCCAAGUGUUUUACGUAUAAAUCAGGCUUCUUGUAUCCCAUUUGGAGUGAAGGGUGGUGCAGCUGAGUGAAAGCAAGCAGCGCUGUGGCUCUGCUGCCCUUUGCUACCCAGGGUUGUUACAAAUCAUCAGACAAAUUAACUUCAGCUGGGCUAUGCCUUCACUCCACCUUCCCCACGGGCCAGCGUGUGGAUGUAACAUUUUCGGGGCCGCAGAUACCCAGUACCCUACUGCAGGUUUUCAUUUAGCUUUGGAAAUAAGCAGUGUCAAGCUGCCGUGUCAGUGUGGCUUAAAUUCACAGCAGAAGUCAUUUGGUUGGAAGCACUGUACGUUAUUAAAUAUGACUGCACAGGAGCCCCUGUGGGAUAAUCCUUUAUGAUAAAUGAUGUUGGAAACUGAGGGAGACCCGAUAUUGGCCAUCUCGCAUACCAGUCACAGUUAAUCUGCAGGAACGGUAAAAGACACGGCAUAAUCACGGAUAUGUGGAGCAAAGGGCAAAGGCUGGGCUUUGACAAAGCGACAGCUAAAUCUGAGAUGCAGUCAGCCCUGAGUGCACUGCAAACAGACGGAGCGGGAGCAUCCUUCUUCAGCACAGGAAAGGCAGCACAGUGCAUGCCCACAGGUUUCUCUCCAGUAAUGUGCACCUUGCUCAGCUGACUCUCCGGUAUUGUCUAGUGCCAAAGAACCAGAAAUCUGCAGAAAUAAAGAGAUUAAAAGGCGAACAGAAGCCUCUUGCUUUCUGAGUCCCAUUAGAAAUGUCCAUGAAUGUCAAUGGGAACAACAGACAGCAUCCCUCUUCUGCAGGACUCUAACGCAGGGAGAUAUUUAUUUGUCCUGUCAGGGUAUCAGACUGCUGUAAUUGAGCAAACGAUAAUACAUGUUUGACUGGCCUCAGAGUGAAGUUUUCUGCUCUAAAUGCAUCGAUUUGGGGCUGACAUAAAAAGCCAUUAAGGCCCUGAUGCACGGCGAGGACAAGCGAGCCUGGCAGCUCCCGGCCAUGAGUUUGCAGCCCUGGAAAAAAAAAAGGCACGAUGUGGGCUGCCCCUCUGCAGCUCUCGGCUGUUGUGGGACCGGGCACAGGGCGCUGCCCUUUGUUCUGUGCCCAAUGCGUUGCCAUUGUCUGGUGAGCAGAUCACAGGCGGCUUUGGCCCUCUCCCUCUGAAACAAUCGCAUUUAGGGCUUGACCGAGAAGCAUUCGGCAUGAGAUUAGCUUCCCGGCGCGGGGGCAGGACUGGAGCAAUAAUUGAAUAAGCGCGAGGCAGCGCCUGAGGCACGCAGGGAUGAGUCAGGGCAGCUGGCAGCGGAGCCGCUGCCCAUGGGCAGCAGGGAAAAGCUCCCGGGGGCUCCUCCCGGCCCCUCCGCUGCCCUCCUGGAGCCUCUGGGCACAGCCCCGUGCCCACAGCCCCUGUCACAGCCCUGCACCACCCCAAACUCCCCGCUCAGCAUCAGGCACCCAUCUGUGGCUGCGCUGCGCCCUGCCCGUGUGUUCUCCCCCGGAAAAUGCUAAUUGGCAUGCUGCUGUUGUGCUGAGUGGCACGUUCCUAAUAGGAUUCGGGAUCUGCUGCUGCUUUCUCGCUCCGCGUCUGUUGGAUUUCCCGCUCCCUUUAAUAUUUUUUUUUUCACUCCGUUUGGUUGCUGCUUUCAGUGCAGGCUGCUCUGUGGAAAAUAGAAGAAAUCAAGGGUUUAUUUUUAGAAGCUGCAAAAGGAAUUCAACCCAAGGCAAAUGCAAUUACUUCAGGUUGCUAGCAGGCUUCUGAGAAGCAAGACAAAUCUUCUCAAGAGCAAGUGGCCUAAAAUGCCAUGAAGGCAUCACGCAAGGAGAGCUUCACUUAACCAUUUGAGGAGUGCAUUUAGUUGCAUGGGGCCAAGUAGCGAGGGACGUGGUGCUGCCUGCUCCCGGCACUCCAGCACAGCACAGAGCCGUGCCCACGGCACGCCCCGGCCAUGCCCCCACCUCCUGGAUGCUAUUCCUGGACCGCUUUUAGGGCAUUCGUUGCCCAAAGCGGCUGCUGGGUUGUUUCUGGAGACCUCACGGCUGGAGAAGGAGGAGAAGGGGUGGGAGAGCGGUUCCUCAUUUGAGAGCUUUCACUCUAUAAUUAAGCUGAACAAGAGACUCUGAGCUAAAUCUCUGUUCCUCUCGCUCUGCCUGAGCAAACACAAAGAGGAGAAAAGGACUGAACCAAACAAUUAAAACAAGAAAUAAAAUUGCACAGAGAGGUCUGUGGAAUGAUUUUUCCUUGACACACUCGCCCCCAACAAGUGCCACAUGCCCUGUGCAUAAAUAGCAGCUGCCCAGACUUGCUUAAUCAUCCCAUUGUUGCUUUAUAAUAUUAAUUAAACAUUCCUCUGGGAUUGUUCGCAUCCUAAUUAAAUCACGAACUUACAAAAGCGGGUGAAGAAACCAGACAAGUGUAUGCUGGGGGAUGCACAGCCCGAUUUCGCUAAACUGCGUGCAAUCACCUUCCAAAAAACCACAAUGAUGGAGGGCAGGGCGGUGGGAAGCAUUUCUCGUGGGGCUGGGGGCUCUGAUUAAUGGUCGGGGGCUCUGAUAAGAGCCGGGGUCUCUGAUUAAUGGCCCUCGGGGCUCGGCAGCGGCCGCUUGCUGCGGAGCACUCGGAGCGGGAGCCUGGGGGGUGCAGGCAGGGGCGAGCUCCCCACCGGCGAGGCACGAGCGUCGUCCUUGGCCGAUAUCAAAGGGACAAUUAAUGCGCAGCUGCUCGGCGAGGGGCGGGGGAGGCGAGGGGCUGCGCUCAGCACCCCGCAGGCAGCAGCUGGGCUGCACGACCCCAGCCCCGGGUACAGGCGAGGAAUCCCCCAAACCCCACUGGGGCUGCAGGGACAGGCUGGCAGCAUGCGAGCGCGGAGAUGCCCAGAAGUGGAGCCGCAUCGAGACACGUGGGGGAUAACGUCCGAUCUCAGGGCGAUCCCAGCCUCGCUGGUGUGUCCUGGACAGGAGCAACACCGAGCCCUGGCCUCCCAUGGAGGGCAGCCUCUGCCCCGUGCUGUGCUCGGCCUCCCCAGCUUCUGCUUUCAUGUCGGAGGAAGAGUUGAGCACAUUGUUCCCAGCCAAGGCUCAUGCGCCCUGCAGGGAUGUGCUGUGAAUAACGUCCCAAAUUAUAUGAGUAAUUAAAAUCAAUGAGAGGGUAUCCUGUUAAAUAACGUAAUUAGAUGAGCAUGGCGAGCAAGACGAGUGUAAGAGCGUUUUUGUUCUCCUCCUGCUGAUAGCUUCCAACUCCUUCCCCGUUGUCUCCUCCCUGGGAGAUGCAGCGGGCAUCACGCGUGGCCGUGCCUGGCUGCACGUUCCCCUCGCGGAGGCUCUUGUGGGGUCUCCGGAGCCCCAUCCUGCUCCCUCUCAUGCUGCCACCACACACGGGGUGAUCUCUACCCUCAGCCUCCAUCCUGGGCAGGACCACAGGGGCGA